AGUGAACGCUGGCGGUAGGCCUAACACAUGCAAGUCGAACGGCAGCACAGUAAGAGCUUGCUCUUACGGGUGGCGAGUGGCGGACGGGUGAGGAAUACAUCGGAAUCUACUUUUUCGUGGGGGAUCACGUAGGGAAACUUACGCUAAUACCGCAUACCACCUACGGGUGAAAGCAGGGGAUCUUCGUACCUUGCGCGAUUGAAUGCGCCGAUGUCGGAUUAGCUAGUUGGCGGGGUAAAGGCCCACCAAGGCGACGAUCCGUAGCUGGGCUGAGAGGAUGAUCAGCCACACUGGAACUGAGACACGGUCCAGACUCCUACGGGAGGCAGCAGUGGGGAAUAUUGGACAAUGGGCGCAAGCCUGAUCCAGCCAUACCGCGUGGGUGAAGAAGGCCUUCGGGUUGUAAAGCCCUUUUGUUGGGAAAGAAAAGCAGCAGGUUAAUACCCCGCUGUUCUGACGGUACCCAAAGAAUAAGCACCGGCUAACUUCGUG
rnacentral:rRNA from 1 species